rnacentral:rRNA from 1 species
CGGCGGACGGGUGAGUAACGCGUGGGUAACCUGCCUCAUACAGGGGGAUAACAGUUAGAAAUGACUGCUAAUACCGCAUAAGACCACAGCACCGCAUGGUGCGGGGGUAAAAACGUACCGGUGGUAUGAGAUGGACCCGCGUCUGAUUAGCUAGUUGGUAAGGUAACGGCUUACCAGGGCGACGAUCAGUAGCCGACCUGAGAGGGUGACCGGCCACAUUGGGACUGAGACACGGCCCAA